CCUACGGGAGGCAGCAGUAGGGAAUCUUCCACAAUGGACGAAAGUCUGAUGGAGCAACGCCGCGUGAGUGAAGAAGGGCUUCGGCUCGUAAAGCUCUGUUGGUAGUCAAGAAAGAUAGAGGUAGUAACUGCCUUUUUUUUGAUGGUAAUUACUUAGAAAGUCACGGCUAACUACGUGCCAGCAGCCGCGGUAAUACGUAGGUGGCAAGCGUUGUCCGGAAUUAUUGGGCGUAAAGCGAGCGCAGGCG
rnacentral:rRNA from 1 species